rnacentral:rRNA from 1 species
UACGUAGGGGGCAAGCGUUAUCCGGAUUUACUGGGUGUAAAGGGAGCGUAGGUGGUAUGUUAAGUCAGAUGUGAAAGCCCGGGGCUCAACCCCGGGACUGCAUUUGAAACUGGCAUGCUUGAGUGCAGGAGAGGUAAGUGGAAUUCCUAGUGUAGCGGUGAAAUGCGUAGAUAUUAGGAGGAACACCAGUGGCGAAGGCGGCUUACUGGACUGUAACUGACACUGAGGCUCGAAAGCGUGGGUAGCGAACAGG